CCACACUGGGACUGAGACACGGCCCAGACUCCUACGGGGGGCAGCAGUGGGGAAUCUUGCACAAUGGGCGAAAGCCUGAUGCAGCAACGCCGCGUGAGGGACGAAGGCUUUCUGAGUUGUAAACCUCUUUCAGCAGGGACGAUUAUGACGGUACCUGCAGAAGAAGCCCCGGCCAACUACGUGCCAGCAGCCGCGGUAAUACGUAGGGGGCAAGCGUUGUCCGGAUUUAUUGGGCGUAAAGAGCUCGUAAGGCAAGUCGGAUGUGAAACCUCCA
rnacentral:rRNA from 1 species